UACGUAGGGGGCAAGCGUUGUCCGGAAUCAUUGGGCGUAAAGAGCGUGUAGGUGGCUCGGUAAGUCCGCUGUAAAAGUCCAGGGCUCGACCCUGGAAAGCCGGUGGAAACUGUCAAGCUUGAGUCCGGAAGAGGCGAGUGGAAUUCCUGGUGUAGCGGUGAAAUGCGCAGAUAUCAGGAGGAACACCAAUGGCGAAGGCAGCUCGCUGGGACGGUACUGACGCUGAGACGCGAAAGCGUGGGGAGCAAACAGG
rnacentral:rRNA from 1 species